ensembl:piRNA 21ur-4564 ncRNA
UGUGAUCUGCCAUCGUUCCAU